rnacentral:rRNA from 1 species
GAUGAACGCUAGCGGCAGGCUUAAUACAUGCAAGUCGAGGGGCAGCACAGGUAGCAAUACUGGGUGGCGACCGGCAAACGGGUGCGGAACACGUACACAACUUACCUUUUGGUGUGGGAUAGCCUUUGGAAACGGAGAUUAAUACCACAUAUUACAUAGAAGCUGCAUGGUUUUUAUGUUAAAGAUUUAUUGCCAGAAGAUGGGUGUGCGUAUGAUUAGGUAGUUGGUAGGGUAACGGCCUACCAAGCCAACGAUCAUUAACUGGUGUGAGAGCACGACCAGUCACACGGGCACUGAGACACGGGCCCGACUCCUACGGGAGGCAGCAGUAAGGAAUAUUGGUCAAUGGACGGAAGUCUGAACCAGCCAUGCCGCGUGGAGGAUGAAGGUCCUCUGGAUUGUAAACUUCUUUUAUAGGGGGCGAAAAAAGGCCAUUCUUGGUCGUCUGACGGUACCCUAUGAAUAAGCACCGGCUAACUCCGUG